rnacentral:rRNA from 1 species
CGAUACUUGGUGUGAAUUGCAGAAUUCAGUGAAUCAUCGAAUCUUUGAACGCAUCUUGCGCUCUGUGGUAUUCCGCAGAGCAUGCCUGUUUGAGUGUCAUGUAAACCCUCACCCUNGAGAUUUCACGAUCUCUNGCGGUGGAUUUGGACCGUGCCGUAGUUGGCUCGUCCUGAAAUGCAUUAGCUUGCGCUCGUUAGAGUGCCGGGCACCGGUGUGAUAAUUAUCUGCGCCAACGCCUAGCGCCUCUUCUUGUAGUGCUGCUUACAGUCGUCCUUUUUAGGACAUCUACAUUAAAGCUUUGGCCUCAAAUCAGGUAGGACUACCCGCUGAACUUAAGCAUAUCAAUAAGCGGAGGA